AACGAACGCUGGCGGCAUGCCUAACACAUGCAAGUCGAACGAGACCUUCGGGUCUAGUGGCGCACGGGUGCGUAACGCGUGGGAACCUGCCCUUAGGUUCGGAAUAACUCCCCGAAAGGGGUGCUAAUACCGGAUAAUGUCUUCGGACCAAAGAUUUAUCGCCUUUGGAUGGGCCCGCGUUGGAUUAGCUAGUUGGUAGGGCAAAAGCCUACCAAGGCGACGAUCCAUAGCUGGUCUGAGAGGAUGAUCAGCCACACUGGGACUGAGACACGGCCCAGACUCCUACGGGAGGCAGCAGUGGGGAAUAUUGGACAAGGGGCGAAAGCCUGAUCCAGCAAUGCCGCGUGAGUGAUGAAGGCCUUAGGGUUGUAAAGCUCUUUUACCCGGGAUGAUAAUGACAGUACCGGGAGAAUAAGCUCCGGCUAACUCCGUG
rnacentral:rRNA from 1 species